CCUACGGGUGGCAGCAGUGGGGAAUAUUGGGCAAUGGGCGCAAGCCUGACCCAGCAACGCCGCGUGAAGGAAGAAGGCUUUCGGGUUGUAAACUUCUUUUCUCAGGGACGAAGAAAGUGACGGUACCUGAGGAAUAAGCCACGGCUAACUACGUGCCAGCAGCCGCGGUAAUACGUAGGUGGCAAGCGUUAUCCGGAUUUAGUGGGUGUAAAGGGCGUGUAGGCGGGAGCGCAAGUCAGAUGUGAAAACUCAGGGCUCAACCCUGGGACUGCAUUUGAAACUGUGUUUCUUGAGUGCUGGAGAGGAUAGCGGAAUUCCGGGUGUAGCGGUGAAAUGCGUAGAUACACGGAGGAACACCAGUGGCGAAGGCGGAUUUCUGGCACGUAACUGACGCUGAGGAGCGAAAGCGUGGGGAGCAAACAGGAUUAGAUACCCGAGUAGUC
rnacentral:rRNA from 1 species